AUGUAUAGAUUGUGAGACGGUGA
rnacentral:siRNA from 1 species